rnacentral:snRNA from 1 species
GUGCUUGCUUUGGCAACACAUAUACUAAAAUUGGAACAAUACAGAGGAGAUUAGCAUGGCCCCUGCAUAAGGAUGACACACAAAUUCAUGAAGUGUUCCAUAUUUUU